UACCAGCACCCCGAGUGGUCGGGACGUUUAUUGGGCCUAAAGCAUCCGUAGCCGGUUCUACAAGUCUUCCGUUAAAUCCACCUGCUUAACAGAUGGGCUGCGGAAGAUACUAUGGAGCUAGGAGGCGGGAGAGGCAAGCGGUACUCGAUGGGUAGAGGUAAAAUCCGUUGAUCCAUUGAAGACCACCAGUGGCGAAGGCGGCUUGCCAGAACGCGCUCGACGGUGAGGGAUGAAAGCUGGGGGAGCAAACCGG
rnacentral:rRNA from 1 species